GCGGAAGGUGGUGUGCAGAGUGGAUCCUGUGCUCUUCCCAGGAUCGAAGCAGCAGCUGGAAGGCAGAGAGGAUGCCAAUGAGAGCAGUCUGGAAAACUGAGAAUAAGAAGCAACUUUGAAAAGGAAAACAAAUCAAGCCAGAAAUCAAAAUAUUUUCCAUUUCCUACAGAAACCACAGAAAGUUUCACCUCACAAGACACCAAACCCUCUGAAUGUCCAGAUUGUGGGAAAUGUUUCAAUUGAAAUUGUGACCUGGUGAUAUACCAAAGGAUGCACACAGGAGAGAAGCUGCAUGAGUGCCCAGAUUGUGGGAAGAGUUUCAUUCAAAAACCCAUUUAGUGAAUCACCAAAGGAUUCA